rnacentral:lncRNA from 1 species
UGCAGAAGAGGGAUGCUCUCUGGUUCUUCCAGCUCAUGCCAGCAGAGGGCACAGGUUGUCUUUGUGAGUUUUUGGGCAGCCUCGACCAGUGCAUGCAUACGCAUACGCAAGCCGAAUAGAUUUUUCCUACUCUUCAGAGGAACUUACAUGACUGAAGCACCUGUUUACCAGAAAGGAUGCUAUUUUAGGCCUCCUACCAGAGACUGAGGCAGAUUGAUUAACACUUCAAAAGGUAUGGGAUCUCACAAGGUAGGUUUGUUCUUUCCAAAAGAUGCAAAAAAGAGAAAGGAAUUUAGGAUUUCUUUGGAAAGCUCAUCUAUGAGUCAAAAUGACAAAAUGCAAUAUAGGUAAUCACUGACCCUAUUUUUCAAGGUUAAAACAAGCAAGUUUGUUGAUUAAGGACAAAAGAAAUAGAAAUAUUUUAAAUCUUCCUAUCAGUUUCAUUGAAACCAGAAGCCCCCUGAAGCUUUCUAGCUAUGUAAACCUGGCCUCAGUUUCCUCAUCUGGUAAAUGAAAGGGUUGGACUAGAAAACCUUUAAGAUUCCUUCUAGCUAAAUCUAUCAAUUUGAUUCCACAGGGAAGAGGUCAUUGUGAAUUUUUCAAAUAAUACCAAAUAUCUUCCUUUCCAGAGACAGCCUGCUGCACUGCUCUCCGAGCCAUAAAGAUCUGGGUUUAAGAUUUGCCUCACACACCUGGCUCUGUGACUUUGAGCAAGUUACUUAGCCCUUCAUUUCCCUAAACUGUUCUCUAAGAUUUGAAAGAUUAUAAACUCUGCUGAGGAGUUGCACAUCUGCAUUGGUAAAGGGAGUCAAUUUCCUUGCUGGUAUUUCUCUACGUUAAUAAAAACAGAUCUAUUAAAAAGAAAAGUUUUCCU